rnacentral:lncRNA from 1 species
UUACUUUGAGCCGGUUUUACCUUUUCAUGUGCACCUUUUGUUUUAACCGAUUCUGACCAUGGUUUUGAAUCUGUUGUUUUUGGAUAGGCAAUCUUUCUCAGUUGCUCUUUAAUGUGAAAUUUCAUGAUGUCAUCAGCUUUCAUGAAUCUCUCUUGGAUCAUUUUCCACUCGGUCAUGAGAGAUAUGUUUGUUUUAUCAUCCUUCGUUACAUCAUCAUCAUCAUCAUCAAAA